UGUGUGUGUGUGUGUUACGCGCACUUGAGCCCUUCGACCCUGGUUUCUGUGGCAACAGCAUCAAUGAGAUUGCCGUAGAGCUCGGCUCACUCCUGGGUCUCUUGACUCUCGGCAGUAUCGUACUCCGAUUUCUCCAAAUAUGUCUGUAUACCUGCACCAUUUCAACCUUGGGGUGUGACCUCAGCAGAUGGGCUCUGCCUGUAAAGCACGCCGUCAAAUGGGUGAGAUUUGAAAGCAUGCUGAGAGACGUUGAGAUUGGCAGCACCGUUUCAUCUUCAUUCAUCUUAUACGGGGAGUGAGAAAAAAAGACAUGCUUGAAUGGUGCCACUGGUUACUAUUAUAGAUUUUUACCUUGUGAUGUCAUCACUGUCACAUUAUGACAUCAUCUUAGUUUUGCUUUAAAGUUUUGUCUUCAAACAGGUGAAAUAUAUCUUGACCCGCUCACAUUUAAAGAGCUUGUUUGAGUAAAUCCGAAACGACCGAAGCUAUGGGAGUCAUUUUCAUCUGUGCAUGACUUUCCUCGAAUGUAAUUAAAAGAAUACGUUGUGUUGUAGGUUUCAUUUGCAUGGAUAGUGUGCGUUUGAGACAGGAAGAGAGAGAGAUUUUGAAAAGUUAUUUCCAUGCCAAAGAGCUCUUCUGUUUGAGAACAUAAUGAAACAUCAUUGGAGGGCCACAUGAAUGCAGCAGCCAGGGUGUAAAUGAAUUAAAUUACCUAGAGGCCUGUAGGCAAACUGGAAAGAUCCUCGUGUCAGUGUCUUUCCCUACACAGCUGUAUAUUUCAGGAUCCUCUCCAAUUAAGAUGCCUGUCCCUUUUGGCUAAAAACAAUGUUAACUAAAUACGAAGUUAGCAGAAAUCAGUAGCCUAAAUAAAUGUUUAGCAUUGCAAUA